rnacentral:tRNA from 1 species
ACUUAAAUAGCUUAAUAUUUAGAGCGCAACACUGAAGAUGUUGAUGAGGCAUAAUUAAUGCCUUUGAGUA